rnacentral:rRNA from 1 species
UACGUAGGGCGCGAGCGUUGUCCGGAAUUAUUGGGCGUAAAGAGCUCGUAGGCGGCCUGUUGCGUCCGCUGUGAAAUCCCAGGGCUCAACCCCGAGCCUGCAGUGGAUACGGGCAGACUAGAGGUAGGUAGGGGAGAAUGGAAUUCCCGGUGUAGCGGUGAAAUGCGCAGAUAUCGGGAGGAACACCGGUGGCGAAGGCGGUUCUCUGGGCCUUACCUGACGCUGAGGAGCGAAAGCGUGGGGAGCGAACAGG